GUGCCAGCCGCCGCGGUAAUACGGAGGAUCCAAGCGUUAUCCGGAAUCAUUGGGUUUAAAGGGUCCGUAGGCGGUCAGGUAAGUCAGUGGUGAAAGCCCAUCGCUCAACGGUGGAACGGCCAUUGAUACUGUCUGACUUGAAUUAUUAGGAAGUAACUAGAAUAUGUAGUGUAGCGGUGAAAUGCUUAGAGAUUACAUGGAAUACCAAUUGCGAAGGCAGGUUACUACUAAUAUAUUGACGCUGAUGGACGAAAGCGUGGGUAGCGAACAGGAUUAGAUACCCUGGUAGUCCACGCCGUAAACGAUGGAUACUAGCUGUUGGGAGCAAUCUCAGUGGCUAAGCGAAAGUGAUAAGUAUCCCACCUGGGGAGUACGAACGCAAGUUUGAAACUCAAAGGAAUUGACGGGGGCCCGCACAAGCGGUGGAGCAUGUGGUUUAAUUCGAUGAUACGCGAGGAACCUUACCAAGGCUUAAAUGUAGUUUGACCGGUUUGGAAACAGAUCUUUCGCAAGACAAAUUACAAGGUGCUGCAUGGUUGUCGUCAGCUCGUGCCGUGAGGUGUCAGGUUAAGUCCUAUAACGAGCGCAACCCCUGUUGUUAGUUGCCAGGGAGUCAUGUCGGGAACUCUAACGAGACUGCCAGUGCAAACUGUGAGGAAGGUGGGGAUGACGUC
rnacentral:rRNA from 1 species